AGCGAACGCUAGCGGCGAGCUUAACACAUGCAAGUCGAGCGGAGGGUUUCGGCCCUCAGCGGCGGACGGGUGAGUAACACGUAGGUUACGUGCCCUUUGGUGGGGAAUAACUUAGGGAAACCUGAGCUAAUACCGCAUAUGCCCUUCGGGUGAAGUCUUCGGACGCCAGAGGAUCGGCCUGCGGCCCACUUAUUUAAUCCUUGUUGGUGGGGUAACGGCCUACCAAGGGUACGAUGGGUAGCUGGUCUGAGAGGAUGAUCAGCCACACUGGGACUGAGACACGGCCCAGACUCCUACGGGAGGCAGCAGUGGGGAAUAUUGGACAAUGGGGGAAACCCUGAUCCAGCUACGCCGCGUGGGUGAUGAAGGCCUCGGUUGUAAGACCU
rnacentral:rRNA from 1 species